UAAAUACUCCUGAGAGACCGAUAGUGAACUAGUACCGUGAGGGAAAGGUGAAAAGAACCGUGAAUAACGGAGUGAAAUAGAUCCUGAAACCAUACGCUUACAAGCGGUCGGAGCCCUUUCGUGGGGUGACGGCGUGCCUUUUGCAUAAUGAGCCUACGAGUUACUUUCACUGGCGAGGUUAAUCACGUUGACGUGAGCAGCCGGAGCGAAAGCGAGUCUGAAUAGGGCGCUUAGUCAGUGGGAGUAGACGCGAAACUUUGUGAUCUACCCAUGAGCAGGUUGAAGCUCCGAUAACACGGAGUGGAGGACCGAACCAGUUUACGUUGAAAAGUAUUUGGAUGACUUGUGGGUAGGGGUGAAAGGCCAAUCAAACUGAGAAAUAGCUCGUACUCCCCGAAAUGUUUUUAGGAACAGCCUCGGGGUUAAGUUUUAAGCAGGUAAAGCUACCGAUAGGACUAGGGGGAGUCAAAUCCUACCAAAUCCUGACGAACUCUGAAUGGCUUAAAAUAUACCCGGGAGUGAGGGUUGGGGUGCUAAGGUCCCAAUCCGAGAGGGAAAGAACCCAGACCAACAGCUAAGGUCCCAAAAUCUUUACUAAGUUGAACUAAGGAAGUCUGAUUGCAGUGACAGCCAGGAUGUUAGCUUGGAAGCAGCUAUUCAUUUAAAGAGUGCGUAACAGCUCACUGGUCGAGCGAGGCGGGCAUCGAUAAUAAACGGGCAUCAAGUAAAGUACCGAAGCUUUGGAUUAUAUUUAUAUACUGGUAGGGGAGCAUUCUGAUCUGCGGAGAAGGUGAAGCGACGAGCUUUGCUGGAGCGUUCAGAAAAGCAAAUGUAGGCAUGAGUAACGAUAAUGAGGGCGAGAAACCCUCACGCCGAAAGACUAAGGUUUCCUCAGCUAUGCUAAUCAACUGAGGGUUAGUCGGGGGCUAAGGGUCUAGCGAAGGCGACAACCUAAUGCACAACAGGUUAAUAUUCCUGUACUUACUUAUAGGGCAAAUAGAUGACGGAGACUACAGGUUACCAGAUACUGACGGAAUAGUGUCUUUGAGAGGCGGCAGCAAUGCCAAAACGAGUGUAGUGAGUAAACUUCCAAGAAAAGUCUAGGCGUGUAUAACUAAUAAGUAACCCGUACCGUAAACCGACACAGGUGGUCGAGAAGAAUAUUCUAAGGCGCUCGAGUGAAUCACGGCUAAGGAACUCGGCAAAUUAACCCUGUAACUUCGGGAUAAAGGGAGCCACGAGCAAUCGUGGCCGCAGAGAAAUGGCCCAGGCGACUGUUUAACAAAAACACAUGGCUUUGCUAAAUCGAAAGAUGACGUAUAAGGCCUGACACCUGCCCGGUGCUGGAAGGUUAAGGGGGGAUGUUAGUGGCAACACGAAGCAUUGAACUGAAGCCCCAGUAAACGGCGGCCGUAACUAUAACGGUCCUAAGGUAGCGAAAUUCCUUGUCGGGUAAGUUCCGACCUGCACGAAUGGUGUAACGAUCUGGGCACUGUCUCAGCCAUGAGCUCGGUGAAAUUGUAGUAUCGGUGAAGAUGCCGAUUACCCGCAGUGGGACGAAAAGACCCCGUGAACCUUUACUAUAGCUUAGUAUUGGCUUUGGAUAAGUAAUGUGUAGGAUAGGUGGGAGACUUUGAAGUGGCGUCGCUAGGCGUUGUGGAGUCAUUGUUGAAAUACCACCCUUUGCUUAUCUGAGGUCUAACCCCAUACUGUGGGGGACAUUGCUUGGUGGGUAGUUUGACUGGGGUGGUCGCCUCCAAAAGAGUAA
rnacentral:rRNA from 1 species